CCCUACGGGGGGCAGCAGUGAGGAAUAUUGGUCAAUGGUCGGGAGACUGGACCAGCCAAGCCGCGUGAGGGAUGAAGGUACAGAGUAUCGUAAACCUCUUUUGUCAGGGAACAAAGGCGGGGACGCGUCCCCGGAUGAGUGUACCUGAAGAAAAAGCAUCGGCUAACCCCGUGCCAGCAGCCGCGGUAAUACGGAGGAUGCGAGCGUUAUCCGGAUUUAUUGGGUUUAAAGGGUGCGCAGGCGGUCUGUUAAGUCAGCGGUCAAAGCCCGGGGCUCAACCCCGGCCCGCCGUUGAAACUGGCAGG
rnacentral:rRNA from 1 species